rnacentral:snoRNA from 1 species
GAAGGCAGAUGAUGUAAAGUUUCUUAUCCUACACACUGAAACAUGAAUGUAGACUGAUAAACUCCGCUUAUUAUCUGAUGCCUUU